UCCCUUUCCAUGCAAGCUAAAGCCAACCCUCUCUUCUUCUCCUCUCUUUUGUUCUUCAAGAAACCAACUCCUCUCAUCAUCUUCAAGCUUAUGACUCCAUAGCAAGUGAUAUCGUGUUGCUCUUCAUCCACACGGCUAUACCUCUAUUUGGUCUUCCAUUUGUGUUUUGAAAGGAGCAAAGAACUUAAGGUAAUGAUGAAAAGGCUGGGGAGCGAGACAUUACUGUAGAUGAAGAGGCAGAAGCAUAGGAUCUUCCCUAACUAGAACAGUUAU